CGUAGGUGGCAAGCGUUGUCCGGAGUUACUGGGUGUAAAGGGCGUGUAGGCGGGAAGAUAAGUCAGAUGUGAAAUUCCAUGGCUCAACUGUGGCGCUGCAUCUGAAACUAUCUUUCUUGAGUGAUGGAGAGGAAAGCGGAAUUCCUAGUGUAGCGGUGAAAUGCGUAGAUAUUAGGAGGAACACCAGUGGCGAAGGCGGCUUUCUGGACAUUAACUGACGCUGAGGCGCGAAAGCGUGGGGAGCAAACAGGAUUAGAUACCCUGGUAGUCCACGCUGUAAACGAUGGAUACUAGGUGUAGGAGGUAUCGACCCCUUCUGUGCCGGAGUUAACACAAUAAGUAUCCCACCUGGGGAGCACGGCCGCAAGGUUG
rnacentral:rRNA from 1 species